rnacentral:lncRNA from 1 species
GGCCACAAAUUCAUAUACUUAGCUUCUCAAAUCCCAUAAGACUACUCCUCUCUAUCAAGGUUGAUGGAUCCUAUCUUGAUGCGCACCCUACUCCUAUAGUGGACCAACUGCUAUCAAUAUCCACUACAAGGGCUCAUUGAGACCCAUAUUAAUGUGUCAAUCAAACUUCAGCAGCCUCACUGUGAGUAGUAAUACUAUCUCAAGUCAAAAGAUCAGUCACGCAACUACAGCAUUGAGACAAUCAUUGAUGAUCAAAUAGAAAUCUAAGUGAUCUCUCGUAUGGUCACGCUCAGUGCUAGUUGUUCUCUAAUAAUCACCUGUACUCAUC